rnacentral:rRNA from 1 species
UACGUAGGGGGCGAGCGUUGUCCGGAUUUAUUGGGCGUAAAGAGCGUGUAGGCGGCCAGGUAGGUCUGCUGUGAAAACUCGAGGCUCAACCUCGAGACGUCGGCGGAAACCAUCUGGCUAGAGUCCGGAAGAGGAGAGUGGAAUUCCUGGUGUAGCGGUGAAAUGCGCAGAUAUCAGGAGGAACACCGAUGGCGAAGGCAGCUCGCUGGGACGGUACUGACGCUGAGGCGCGAAAGGCGUGGGGAGCGAACAGG